rnacentral:rRNA from 1 species
GUACCCCGAGGAAAAGAAAUCAACCGAGAUUCCCCCAGUAGCGGCGAGCGAACGGGGAGCAGCCCAGAGCCUGAAUCAGUAUGUGUGUUAGUGGAAGCGUCUGGAAAGGCGCGCGAUACAGGGUGACAGCCCCGUACACAAAAAUGCACAUGCUGUGAGCUCGAUGAGUAGGGCGGGACACGUGGUAUCCUGUCUGAAUAUGGGGGGACCAUCCUCCAAGGCUAAAUACUCCUGACUGACCGAUAGUGAACCAGUACCGUGAGGGAAAGGCGAAAAGAACCCCGGCGAGGGGAGUGAAAAAGAACCUGAAACCGUGU